CACGGGGGGAGCAAGCGUUGUUCGGAAUCACUGGGCGUAAAGGGCGUGUAGGCGGCCAGGUAGGUCGGUUGUGAAAACUGGAGGCUCAACCUUCAGAGGUCGACCGAAACCAUCUGGCUAGAGUCCGGGAGAGGAGAGUGGAAUUCCUGGUGUAGCGGUGAAAUGCGCAGAUAUCAGGAAGAACACCCGUGGCGAAAGCGGCUCUCUGGAACGGUACUGACGCUGAGACGCGAAAGCGUGGGGAGCGAACAGG
rnacentral:rRNA from 1 species